CGCUGGCGGCGCGCCUAACACAUGCAAGUCGAACGAGCGAGAGAGAGUUACUUUUUCGAGCGAGUGGCGAACGGGUGAGUAACGCGUGAGGAACCUGCCUCAAAGAGGGGGACAACAGUUGGAAACGACUGCUAAUACCGCAUGACACAGCGAGAUCGCAUGGUCUUGCUGUCAAAGAUUUAUCGCUGAAAGAUGGCCUCGCGUCUGAUUAGAUAGUUGGUGAGGUAACGGCCCACCAAGUCGACGAUCAGUAGCCGGACUGAGAGGUUGAACGGCCACAUUGGGACUGAGAUACGGCCCAGACUCCUACGGGAGGCAGCAGUGGGGAAUAUUGGGCAAUGGGGGAAACCCUGACCCAGCAACGCCGCGUGAAGGAAGAAGGCUUUCGGGUUGUAAACUUCUUUUACCAGGGACGAAGAACGUGACGGUACCUGGAGAAAAAGCCACGGCUAACUACGUG
rnacentral:rRNA from 1 species